rnacentral:rRNA from 1 species
UACGGAGGGUGCAAGCGUUAAUCGGAAUUACUGGGCGUAAAGCGCACGCAGGUGGCUGAGUCAGUCGAUUGUGAAAGCCCUGGGCUUAACCUGGGAAUUGCAGUCGAUACUACUCAGCUAGAGUAUGGGAGAGGGUAGUGGAAUUCCCGGUGUAGCGGUGAAAUGCGCAGAUAUCGGGAGGAACACCGGUGGCGAAGGCGGUUCUCUGGGCCUUACCUGACGCUGAGGAGCGAAAGCGUGGGGAGCGAACAGG